UACGUAGGGGGCAAGCGUUGUCCGGAAUCAUUGGGCGUAAAGCGCGUGUAGGCGGCCAGAAAAGUCCGCUGUGAAAACUCGAGGCUCAACCUCGAGCUGUCGGUGGAAACUUUCUGGCUAGAGUCCGGGAGAGGUGAGUGGAACUGCGAGUGUAGAGGUGAAAUUCGUAGAUAUUCGCAAGAACACCAGUGGCGAAGGCGGCUCACUGGCCCGGUACUGACGCUGAGGCACGAAAGCGUGGGGAGCAAACAGG
rnacentral:rRNA from 1 species